UACAUGGGGUGCAAACGUUGCUCGGAAUUAUUGGGCGUAAAGCGCACGUAGGCGGUUCGUUAAGUCGGAUGUGAAAACUCUGGGCUCAACUCAGAGACGCCACCCGAUACUGGCGUGACUCGAGUCCGGUAGGGGAGCAUGGAAUUCCUGGUGUAGCGGUGAAAUGCGCAGAUAUCAGGAGGAACACCAGUGGCGAAGGCGGUGCUCUGGGCCGGUACUGACGCUGAGGAGUGAAAGCGUGGGUAGCAAACAGG
rnacentral:rRNA from 1 species